rnacentral:rRNA from 1 species
GUAGGUGGCAAGCGUUGUCCGGAAUUAUUGGGCGUAAAGCGCGCGCAGGCGGUUCUUUAAGUCUGAUGUGAAAGCCCACGGCUCAACCGUGGAGGGUCAUUGGAAACUGGAGAACUUGAGUACAGAAGAGGAAAGCGUAAUUCCACGUGUAGCGGUGAAAUGCGUAGAGAUGUGGAGGAACACCAGUGGCGAAGGCGGCUUUCUGGUCUGUAACUGACGCUGAGGCGCGAAAGCGUGGGGAGCAAACAGGAUUAGAUACCCUGGUAGUCCACGCCGUAAACGAUGAGUGCUAAGUGUUAGGGGGGUUUCCGCCCCCCUUAGUGCUGCAGCUAACGCAUUAAGCACUCCGCCUGGGAGUACGGCCGCAAGGCUG